UGGGGAAUCUUGCACAAUGGGCGAAAGCCUGAUGCAGCCAUGCCGCGUGUGUGAAGAAGGCCUUCGGGUUGUAAAGCACUUUAAGCGGGGAGAAAAGGAUAGACGUUAAUAGCGGCUAUCUAUGAUGUUACCCGCAGAAUAAGCACCGGCAAACUUCGUGCCAGCAGCCGCGGUAAUACGAAGGGUGCGAGCGUUAAUCGGAAUUACUGGGCGUAAAGAGCACGUAGGCGGUUUGAUAAGCGGAAUGUGAAAGCCCCGGGCUUAACCUGGGAACUGCAUUCCGAACUGUCAGGCUAGAGUAUGAUAGAGGUGAGCGGAAUUUCCUGUGUAGCGGUGAAAUGCGUAGAUAUAGGAAGGAACAUCAGUUGCGAAGGCGGCUCACUGGAUCAAUACUGACGCUGAGGUGCGAAAGCGUGGGUAGCGAACAGG
rnacentral:rRNA from 1 species